UUUCAUUCUUUAAUUUUCAUUUUAUAGUCCAUUUGGUUGGUUAUUUGUUCCAAUGCAAACCAGUAAUAUGCAGAAUUCCACUUGUCAUUUUGUUUUUUGCAGAUGCCAAAGUGCUUCAUUGUUGUAUGAAUCAUCAAGUAUCCAGUGCUAGAUACUAAUAUCUUAGUUAUGUCAGGAUCAGGCAGAACCUUGCUGCCAUGCAGCAGUUGGAACAUGAGCUUGGGGCCAUGUCUUCCUUUGAUUAUA